rnacentral:rRNA from 1 species
UACGGAGGGUGCAAGCGUUAUCCGGAUUCACUGGGUUUAAAGGGUGCGUAGGAGGGUGUGUAAGUCAGUGGUGAAAUCUUCGAGCUUAACUCGGAAACUGCCGUUGAUACUACAUGUCUUGAAUACCGUGGAGGUGAGCGGAAUAUGUCAUGUAGCGGUGAAAUGCUUAGAUAUGACAUAGAACACCAAUUGCGAAGGCAGCUCACUACACGAGCAUUGACUCUGAGGCACGAAAGCGUGGGGAUCAAACAGG